rnacentral:rRNA from 1 species
AGUGGCGGACGGGUGAGUAACGCGUGAGAAUCUGCCUUCAGGAGGGGGACAACAGUUGGAAACGGCUGCUAAUACCCCGUAAGUCUACGGAUAAAACGGUUAAUUCCGCCUGAAGAUGAGCUCGCGUCGGAUUAGCUAGUUGGUGGGGUAAAGGCUUACCAAGGCGACGAUCCGUAGCUGGUCUUAGAGGAUGAUCAGCCACACUGGGACUGAGACACGGCCCAGACUCCUACGGGAGGCAGCAGUGGGGAAUUUUCCGCAAUGGGCGAAAGCCUGACGGAGCAACGCCGCGUGCGGGAGGACGGCCUGUGGGUUGUAAACCGCUUUUCUCAGGGAAGAAGAUCUGACGGUACCUGAGGAAUCAGCAUCGGCUAACUCCGUGCCAGCAGCCGCGGUAAUACGGAGGAUGCAAGCGUUAUCCGGAUUUAUUGGGCGUAAAGCGUCCGCAGGCGGCUAAUCAAGUCUGCUGUUAAAGGCCGAGGCUUAACUUCGGUUGAGCAGUGGAAACUGAUUAGCUAGAGUGCGAUAGGGGUAGAGGGAAUUCCCAGUGUAGCGGUGAAAUGCGUAGAUAUUGGGAAGAACACCAGUGGCGAAGGCGCUCUACUGGGUCGCAACUGACGCUGAGGGACGAAAGCUAGGGGAGCGAAAGGGAUUAGAUACCCC